GGCUCGGUGGCGUAGCGGUAACACAUUCUGAAUUCCUAUAUAGGUGCUUUGUUCUCAGAGGGUACAGAGUUCAAUUCUCCAUCGAGCCA